rnacentral:rRNA from 1 species
CAGUAGCCGCGGGAAUACGAAGGGGGCUAGCGUUGUUCGGAUUUACUGGGCGUAAAGCGCACGUAGGCGGAUCGAUCAGUCAGGGGUGAAAUCCCAGAGCUCAACUCUGGAACUGCCUUUGAUACUGUCGAUCUGGAGUAUGGAAGAGGUGAGUGGAAUUCCGAGUGUAGAGGUGAAAUUCGUAGAUAUUCGGAGGAACACCAGUGGCGAAGGCGGCUCACUGGUCCAUUACUGACGCUGAGGUGCGAAAGCGUGGGGAGCAAACAGGAUUAGAUACCCCCGUAGUCCCUGUCUCUUAUAC